AUUGAACGCUGGCGGCAUGCCUUACACAUGCAAGUCGAACGGUAACAGGUCUUCGGAUGCUGACGAGUGGCGAACGGGUGAGUAAUACAUCGGAACGUGCCCGAUCGUGGGGGAUAACGAAGCGAAAGCUUUGCUAAUACCGCAUACGAUCUACGGAUGAAAGCAGGGGACCGCAAGGCCUUGCGCGAACGGAGCGGCCGAUGGCAGAUUAGGUAGUUGGUGGGAUAAAAGCUUACCAAGCCGACGAUCUGUAGCUGGUCUGAGAGGACGACCGGCCACACUGGGACUGAGACACGGCCCAGACUCCUACGGGAGGCAGCAGUGGGGAAUUUUGGACAAUGGGCGAAAGCCUGAUCCAGCCAUGCCGCGUGCAGGAUGAAGGCCUUCGGGUUGUAAACUGCUUUUGUACGGAACGAAAAGACUCUGGUUAAUACCUGGGGUCCAUGACGGUACCGUAAGAAUAAGCACCGGCUAACUACGUGCCAGCCGCCGCAGUAAUAC
rnacentral:rRNA from 1 species